rnacentral:misc_RNA from 1 species
CGAGCGCAUGAGUUGUGCUGGACCUGUGACUACCGGGAGGACCCCUGCUGUUGUGCGGCCGACUGCCGGUGCCAGUGUCCCUUCAAUCAUUGGCUGUUUUGUGCCUAUCGUUUCGACGAGUGCUUGCAUGCUGCUACCAGUAACGCGGGAAGUUGCAUUGCUAAAUGUUAUGUUUGUCGUGCAUGCCCUGAGGGCAUGUCACGUCGACUAUAAAGCGUUCCUGGCGUUGCCUCGUGUAGCUGGCUGUGUAGCCUAGCGGCAUCAAGGCCACCUCAUGGACGCUUUUGGUCUCGGAUGCGGCUAACUCUAAAGGCUGAUUGUGCUUUGGCACUUCUUGCCUACAAAGUAUUGUCCGAUUGGAAACAACGACAGUCGGCCUAGCUGAUGCCUUGUGCAGAAGCUAGUGCU